CUCUUCCUAUCUGGCCAUUAAAAGUGAUUUUUCUUUUUUAAGAAAACAUUUGGAUGCAUUGUUUGGUAUUGUAUUUAUUCAAUAAAGUAUUUAAUUAGUGCUAAGUGUGAACUGGACCCUGUUGCUAAGCCUCAGCAAGCAAUCAUAUCCCAGUAAAAUUGCUAUAUUGCACAUGUCUUAAUGAAGUUUGAAUGUUAAAUAAAUUGUAUAUUCACUUU